rnacentral:misc_RNA from 1 species
GGGAGAUCAAAACCACAAAUCCUGCACAAGCAUAAAGCAUAAUUGAAGUUGAAUUUUCUUUGUUUUAAAUGUUAUAAUUUCAUCAGUGUUACAGAGAUCAAGUUAAUUUCUGUUUUAUUUUUUUUUACGAAGAUCAUAAUCAGAAUCCAAAUCUUGAGAGAAUUGUAAAACUAUAAGAUAUCUAAGUCAAAAAUACUAUAGUGAUGCAUUUUAAAGAUCACCUGGGUUAGAAAACUGAGCAAGUCUCAGCACUUAAGUAUAACAAAAAUUAUCAAAAGAAAGACAAAUGAUAAAAUAUCAAGUUCCAGUUCCAGAGUUUCAAAAACAUCACUUUGAAACCAUCAUCAGUCCCCAAGCAAACAUCGGUUAUCCUCCAAAUGCAUAAGCAUAAGGCAUCUAGAUGAAUAAUCUUUAAUUUUCAAGAAUUUUACAACAUGAUCAGUGUUCUAGUAACUUAAUUUGAUUUGGACAGAAAUCAAUGUAACAGUUCCCCAUUCUGAGAUGUGUUCCUCAACAUUGGCAAAUGCGUAACCAAUAUUCAACUAAAAUUUCAAAAUUCUGUCACCCAUUGAGCAUAUUGGAAGCCUCACUUAUCCUAGCAUUCAAAUGGUAAUUAUUCUAUUUUUCUCUCUACCACAAGCAUAGUGGCAAACAACUAUCCCACGUGCCUAUAUGAGAGGAGAAAAAAUUUGAACUGAAAAAUUUAAGUUAAUUUGGCAAAAUUCAGGAUCAAAGUACACAUGUUUGCAUCCCAUUCACCC